GACGAACCUUGCUAACGUUAUUCGGAAUCACUGGGCUUAAAGGGUGCGUAGGCUGCGCAGAAAGUUGGGUGUGAAAUCCCUCGGCUUAACCGAGGAACUGCGCCCAAAACUACUGUGCUCGAGGGAGACAGAGGUGAGCGGAACUUAGGGUGGAGCGGUGAAAUGCGUUGAUAUCCUAAGGAACACCCGUGGCGAAAGCGGCUCACUGGGUCUCUUCUGACGCUGAGGCACGAAAGCUAGGGUAGCGAACGGG
rnacentral:rRNA from 1 species